rnacentral:rRNA from 1 species
CGUAGGGGGCAAGCGUUGUCCGGAUUUAUUGGGCGUAAAGAGCGUGUAGGCGGCCAGACAGGUCCGUUGUGAAAACUCGAGGCUCAACCUCGAGACGUCGACGGAAACCGUUUGGCUAGAGUCCGGAAGAGGAGUGUGGAAUUCCUGGUGUAGCGGUGAAAUGCGCAGAUAUCAGGAAGAACACCUAUGGCGAAGGCAGCACUCUGGGACGGUACUGACGCUGAGACGCGAAAGCGUGGGGAGCGAACAGGAUUAGAUACCCUGGUAGUCCACGCCGUAAACGAUGGAUGCUAGGUGUGGGCGGUGUCGACUCCGUCCGUGCCGAAGCUAACGCAUUAAGCAUCCCGCCUGGGGAGUACGGCCGCAAGGCUA